ACAUAUUUUGAGUGCUUACAAGAUCAAAUUACAAUAAGUAGGUUGAAUUUACGCUAACUCAGUUUUUAUUAAAAUAACAAAACUUUAAAACAAUUUCUUACAAAACUGUUAAUUUCGUUAAAUAAACUUUCCAUAAUUAUGGCAGCAACUGAGGUCAUGUGACACCUCUACUUAUAAAUAACUUUUUUGGGAUUUCAGGCAGCAAGGAUUAUACGUAGUUUACAUUUCUUGCUUUUAAUAGUACCGGUGGAUUUUCUCAAUUUUGUGCUUGGAGUUCUUAUAGACAAAAUACUCCAAGAAUACUUCGAUAUACAAGAAAAUUACCAGAUAAAAUCUUCAUGGAUCAUGUUAACUAGCUCUUUCUCAACCGAAUAAGAUACUCCAAGAAAGAAUACUUCAUAUACAAGAAAAUUACCAGAUAAAUUCUAUCUUCAUGGAUCAUGUGGACUACCAGUAGCUCUUUCUCAACUGAAUAAGGUAAGAUAGUUUUUUCUAGCACAAGGAAUAUAAUGGUUGCAUAUACUAGUAUGUAAUGCUAUAAUAAAUUAAAACUUUUCAAGCUUAACUGAGGCAGAUAAAACUAUUAGAUUUUCUUUCUAUUAAAUAAACAUGCAUAGAGUUAUUCAGACAAUUCCAGUAUGCUAGAUAUUUCUGUUAAAAAGAAUAUAAGGUAUCAGCAUUUCAAACUUCAACAGAUAAUUCAUUCAAUAUUUAAGGACCAAAAUGAUCAAGACUUUUCCUAUAAAACUCUGUGUUUGGUUUAAUAUGGCAAGUACAAGUAUAGGUUUACUGAGUUUGCUUCAUGUAAAAAUGAAAACUUUGUGUUUAAGUAUGCCAGACAUAUAUUAUUCAGAGACUUGUAAACCAAAAUUGCUUUUUUAUAUUUGACUAUAUCAGGCAAUUUCAUCCAAUUCAGUACUGUAAAUAAAAAUCUUUAGAAGAGGUCACUGAAGUAUAGAUCUGGCUGCUUGUUUUUGAAAUUUAAUCACAUUGUCAGUUUCUGCAAUAUUACAGUUUCCCCAAAUAGAGCAUCAGUAACCUAGAUGUGGUAGCCCUAUAUGCAAUGAAAAACAUUUUG